CCUACGGGCGGCUGCAGUGGGGAAUAUUGGACAAUGGGGGCAACCCUGAUCCAGCCAUGCCGCGUGUGUGAAGAAGGCCCUCGGGUUGUAAAGCACUUUCAGUGAGGAAGAACGCCUGGUGGUUAAUACCCAUCAGGAAAGACAUCACUCACAGAAGAAGCACCGGCUAACUCCGUGCCAGCAGCCGCGGUAAUACGGAGGGUGCGAGCGUUAAUCGGAAUUACUGGGCGUAAAGCGCGCGUAGGUGGCUUGAUAAGCCGGAUGUGAAAGCCCCGGGCUCAACCUGGGAACGGCAUCCGGAACUGUCAAGCUAGAGUGCAGGAGAGGAAGGUAGAAUUCCCGGUGUAGCGGUGAAAUGCGUAGAGAUCGGGAGGAAUACCAGUGGCGAAGGCGGCCUUCUGGACUGACACUGACACUGAGGUGCGAAAGCGUGGGUAGCAAACAGGAUUAGAUACCCCUGUAGUC
rnacentral:rRNA from 1 species